rnacentral:rRNA from 1 species
AGUGAACGCUGGCGGUAGGCCUAACACAUGCAAGUCGAACGGCCGCACAGUAAUAGCUUGCUCUUACGGGUGGCGAGUGGCGGACGGGUGAGGAAUACAUCGGAAUUUACUUUUUCGUGGGGGAUAACGUAGGGAAACUUACGCUAAUACCGCAUACGAACUACGGGUGAAAGCAGGGGAUCUUCGGACCUUGCGCGAUUGAAUGAGCCGAUGUCGGAUUAGCUAGUUGGCGGGGUAAAGGCCCACCAAGGCGACGAUCCGUAGCUGGUCUGAGAGGGUGAACAGCCACACUGGAACUGAGGCACGGUCCAGACUCCGACGGUAGGCAGCAGUGGGGAAUAUUGGACAAUGGGCGCGAGCCUGAUCCAGCCAUACCGCGUGAGUGAAGAAGGCCUUCGGGUUGUAAAGCCCUUUUGUUGGUAAAGAAAAGCAGCAGGUUAAUACCCCGCUGUUCUGACGGUACCCAAAGAAUAAGCACCGGCUAACUUCGUG